CGCAUUGAAAAUCUAUGUCGGACAGUGGAGCACCACAGUCCCGGAUGUAAACGAGCAGAUAGUUGGCGUCGAUACCGUCACUACUUUCCCAGAAUACAACAGUACGGACAAACUGAAUGAUAUCGCUCUCAUCAGAUUAACUGCGGAUAUUCAAUUUGCUGAUAACGUCAAUGUUGAUUUCAUCGUAUACCAAGAAGCCGGCACGAACUGUCAUUUG